AAAAAAAGUACAGUGUCAAGCACAGAGACCCCUGGGUGGCAUUGGCCAAUCUAUUUAACCCUCUUGAGUACAAAGAAGUGUAAGCCAAGAGAAGUUACUGGAACCUAGAAGGAAAGCUACAUAUAACAAACGUUGUGUCAAGGCACACAAGAACCUUCCAUACCUCUCAGAGGAUAUCAAGGAAUUAAUAACCGGAUCUCACUCCCUUUCCCACCCUACCCUGAGAGAUUGAUAAUGGUGCAAGCCCAGAAGUCUGGCCAAAGCUUGAGGGGUGAGGAAAAUGGAACUGAAGGUGUAAACCCCUUCCUCAAUCAUUGGCUCUGAUCACAUUUUUAUAAACUUCCACUGCUAGUCUGUCACGGGUGGUCAGUGUAGAAAACACAAAGUAAGGGGAAUUAUGUGUUGAUAAUCCUGACAAAACCACCUUACCUGGCCUGUUCCUGGGUUUUCUUACCAUAACCUUGACAUUGAUCAUCCAACCUGGAAUCAGUCCGGCAGCAUGAUAGGUAAACGGUAAUUCUUCAAGUCCUACAAACAAGAUGAGAUGGCUUAGUGGGUAAAGGUGCUUGCCGCCACAACGACACCUGAAGUUCCAUCCCAGGGACUCACGUGGUAGAAGAAGAGAACCAACUCCUACAAGUUGUCCCCUGACCUCCAUGUGUAAAAAGAAAACAUGAAAUGAAGAAAAUUAGAGGCUCAUCUUACAGAUAGAAAAAUCUAAAUCAGCUGUUAUCCAGCUAGAACUACAGUGGUUUUCUCUUUUUAGUGCUGUGAUAAAACAGUCACCAGAAGCAACUUGAGGAAAGGGUUUAUUUCUGCUUACAGUUUAUGAAGGGAAGUCAGGCCAGAAACCUGGAACCAGGAACUGAAGCAGGGGGUGUGGACAAACACUACUGACUGGCUUAAUCUGUGUGGCUUGCCCAGUUUGCUUUCUUAUAUAUGCCAGGACCACCUACCCAGGGUGGCACCACACAUAGUGAGCUGGGUCCUCUCACACCAGUCAUUAAUCAAGAAAAUGACCCAUAAACUUGCCUAUAGGACAGUUUGAAGUUUCUUCUCAGAUGACUCUAGCUCAUGCCAGAGAGUGAAUACAAGCAAAUGUGAAGCUAUAGCUGUGGAGCACAGGAUUCUACGUGGGGUAGGAAGACUGGUUUGUGACAGAGCAAACAUUUGGAGCUGUCGAUCUGAGAUCAG
rnacentral:lncRNA from 1 species